rnacentral:rRNA from 2 species
UGCAUAUCAAUAAGCGGAGGAAAAGAAACUAACAAGGAUUCCCCUAGUCAACGGCGAGUGAACCGGGAAGAGCUCAAAUUUGAAAUCUGGCGUGCUCAGUGCGUCCGAGUUGUAAUCUAUAGAGGCGUUUUCCGUGCCGGACUGUGUCCAAGUCCCUUGGAACAGGGUAUCAAAGAGGGUGAUAAUCCCGUACUUGACACAAUGACCGGUGCUCUGUGAUACGUCUUCUACGAGUCGAGUUGUUUGGGAAUGCAGCUCAAAAUGGGUGGUGAGUUCCAUCUAAAGCUAAAUAUUGGCGAGAGACCGAUAGCGAACAAGUACCGUGAGGGAAAGAUGAAAAGCACUUUGGAAAGAGAGUUAAACAGUACGUGAAAUUGUUGAAAGGGAAACGAUUGAAGUCAGUCGUGACUGAGAGGCUCAGCCGGUUCUGCCGGUGUAUUCCCCUCAGUCGGGUCAACAUCAGUUUUGUUCGGUGGAUAAGGGCAGUUGGAAGGUGGCACCCUCGGGUGUGUUAUAGCCAGCUGUCGCAUACAUCGGAUGAGACUGAGGAAUGCAGCUGCGCCUUUAUGGCCGGGGUUCGCCCACGUUCGAGCUUAGGAUGUUGACAUAAUGGCUUUAAACGACCCGUCUUGAAAACACGGACC